rnacentral:rRNA from 1 species
CAGCCGCCGCGGUAAUACGGAGGGUGCAAGCGUUAAUCGGAAUUACUGGGCGUAAAGCGUGCGUAGGUGGUGGUUUAAGUCCGUUGUGAAAGCCCUGGGCUCAACCUGGGAAUUGCAGUGGAUACUGGGUCACUAGAGUGUGGUAGAGGAUAGUGGAAUUUCCGGUGUAGCAGUGAAAUGCGUAGAGAUCGGAAGGAACAUCUGUGGCGAAGGCGACUAUCUGGGCCAACACUGACACUGAGGCACGAAAGCGUGGGGAGCAAACAGGAUUAGAUACCCCCGUAGUCCCUGUCUCUUAUAC